rnacentral:rRNA from 1 species
GACGAACGCUGGCGGCGGGCUUAACACAUGCAAGUCGAACGGCAAGGCCCUGCUUUUGUGGGGUGCUCGAGUGGCGAACGGGUGAGUAACACGUGUGUAACCUGCUCUACACUUUCGGAUAACUUCAGGAAACUGGGCUUACUACCGGAUCGGAGCCCCUGCUGCAUGGUGGGGGUUGGAACGUUGCGGCGGUAGGGGAUGGAUUCGCGGCUUACCAGCUUGCUGGUGGGGUAGUGGCUUACCGAGGCUUUGACGGGUCGGCGGCCUGAGAGGGUGACCGGCCACAAUGGGACUGAGAUACGGACCAGACUCCAACGUGGGACAGCGGGGGCGAAUAUGGCACAAUGGGCGGGAGCCUGAGGAAGCAACGCCGCGGGCGGGAUGACGGCCUGCGGGGUGUAAACCGCUUUCGCCUGAGACGAAGCGUGUGUGACGGUAAUGGGUAAAGAAGCACCGGCUAACUACGUG